GAACUGGUGCCAGACUGAAAUGGAGCGGGCCCGCAAGCCCGUACAUGCAGGUUCAAAUCCUGCCCAGUUCU
rnacentral:tRNA from 1 species